GGGCACGAACCCACGUCCCCUGCAUCGGCAGGCGGACUCCCAACCACUGCGCCACCAGGGAAGCCCCUCCUUUACUUUUCUUUUGUUUUCUUUGAACUUGGGGAGAAAAGAAACUCUGCAUGAAAGGAGGCCUGAGGAGCUACUCAUGAGAUGCCAAAUGAGAGGACAGCACACUUUCUUGGUCAUCUCUGACUAGCUCUCUUGCAUCUUCAUGGUGAUCUCAGUGCUUCUAAUUCCAUUUGGAAAUUUCUGGACUUGUUUUAAGAACUACUUGUGCAGGACAGCUCAGUUAUAUCUGUGAGCCAUAACUGAAUGUCUCUUAUCUCUGAAGCUAUUUCCAAGGUAGGCAAACAAAGGGAGAGGCAGGAAGAAAAUUUCUUUCCUUCUGCAUAUGCAAGCACUGGUUAACCAUGGAGUACAACAAAGGUAAGGUAUUAUAUUGUCUGUAGGACUGGAAAAGCCCUUGCAUCAACCACUGUGUUCACAAAUUGUGUUUUUACUUUUGCCUUUUCCACAAUCUCUCAUUAAAUAUUUCUCCCUCUU